rnacentral:misc_RNA from 1 species
GCAAACUUGGUCAUUUAGAGGAAGUAAAAGUCGUAACAAGGUUUCCGUAGGUGAACCUGCGGAAGGAUCAUUAGUGAAUCUCCGGCAUCAGUGCCUCGGUACUCUGCCUUCCGGCAGAGGAGCGGGUAGCCGUCACUCAUCCUCAACACCUGUGCACCGUUCGAGUGGACACCUGUCCGCUCUUUUUACCAAAACUACAUUUAGUCCAUGAUGGCAUGUUACUUUAACAAAACAAAACUUUCAACAACGGAUCUCUUGGCUCCCACAUCGAUGAAGAACGCAGC